AACGUAGGAGCCAAGCGUUAUCCGAAUUCACUGGGCGUAAAGCGCGUGCAGGCGGCUGGGUAAGUUGGAUGUGAAAUCUCCUGGCUCAACUGGGAGAGGCCGUUCAAUACUACCUGGCUUGAGGGCGACAGAGGGAGGUGGAAUUCCGGGUGUAGUGGUGAAAUGCGUAGAUAUCCGGAGGAACACCAGAGGCGAAGGCGACCUCCUGGGUCGUACCUGACGCUGAGAUGCAAAAGCUAGGGGAGCAAACGGG
rnacentral:rRNA from 1 species